rnacentral:rRNA from 1 species
AUGAAGGGCGCCGACCUGAUAAACGUGGCCCUUCCGGAGGAGCUCCUGGAGGACGUGCUCCGACGUGUCGGCGGCGAAAAGCGCGACCUGGACGCCUGCGCCCUCGUCUGCCGCCGCUGGCGCCGCCUCGACCGCGCCACGCGCAGGUCCGCCAAGCUCCCAGCAUCCGGGGUUCACGCGGACGAGGUGGUAGGCCUCUUCGUGGAACGGUUCCCGGCGCUCGCAGACGUCUCCAUUGACGAGCGCCUCUCUGCCGACGCCGCCGUGGUCUCCGCUCCUGCGUCUAGAUCGCGCCGCCACGUGAUUAGCAGUAUCCCAUCUGGUAGCCGUAGGAGGAUGUCCCCGGUGCCACGUUUUGCAGGGAUUUUAUUCCCAUUGCCAUCGGAACAGACACCCAGCGCUGAUGGGAUAGAGAGCUUUUGUUUGACUGAUGUUGGCUUAACUAGUCUCGCCAGAGGCUGCAAAGGGCUGGAAAAACUAAGUCUAGUAUGGUGUUCUGCCAUAUCUUCAACAGGCUUAGUGAGAGUAGCAGAGAACUGUAAGAAAUUGGCUUCUUUGGAUAUCCAGGCUUGCUAUAUUGGAGAUCCAGGACUAGUUGCUAUUGGGGAAGGCUGCAAUCUACUUAACAAUUUGAGCUUGCGCUUUGUUGAAGGCGCAACAGAUGAAGGCUUGAUUGGAUUAAUAAAGAGCUGUGGACAGUCACUGCUCUCUCUUGGUAUUGCUAAUUGUGCUUGGAUGACUGAUGCAUCUUUGCGUGCUGUUGGAUCCCACUGUCCUAACCUUGAAAUCCUGUCACUGGAAUCAGAACUUGUUAAGAAUGAAGGAGUGAUUUCUAUUGCUAAAGGAUGUCGCUUGUUGAAAAAUUUGAAGCUGCAAUGUAUUGGUGCUGGCGAUGAGGCCCUAGAAGCUAUUGGUUCAUGCUGUUCGUUACUAGAAAUUUUAUCGCUAAAUAACUUUGAAAGAUUCACAGACAGGAGCCUUUCUUCCAUCGCGAAAGGGUGCAAGAAUCUUACAGAUCUUGUUCUCAAUGAUUGCCUGUUACUAACUGAUAGAAGCCUUGAAUUCGUAGCACGCAGCUGCAAAAAAAUAGCACGUCUUAAGAUCAAUGGUUGUCAGAAUAUGGAAACUGCUGCACUGGAGCACAUUGGACGAUGGUGCCCGGGCCUUCUGGAACUCUCUCUAAUUUACUGCCCAAGGGUCCGGGAUACUGCAUUUCUGGAGCUUGGUAAAGGCUGCACCCUUCUCCAGUCUCUUUAUUUAGUUGACUGUUCAAGGAUAGGUGAUGAUGCUAUGUGCCACAUAGCUCAAGGUUGUAAGUACUUGAAAGAAAUUUCCAUUCGACGUGGUUAUGAGGUAGGAGACAAAGCAUUGAUAUCAAUUGCUGAGAAUUGUAAAUCACUUAAGGAGUUAACGCUCCAAUUUUGUGAGAGGGUAUCUGAUACAGGGCUGGCUGCAAUUGCUGAAGGUUGCUCUCUUCAAAAGUUAAACUUGUGCGGGUGCCAAUUAAUCACUGAUAAUGGACUGGCUGCCAUUGCGAGAGGAUGUGGUGAUCUUGUCUUUCUGGACAUAAGUGUUCUGCCGAUGACAGGGGACAUGGGGCUGGCAGAGAUUGGCCAAGGCUGCCCCCAGAUUAAAGACAUUGCACUCUCGCACUGCCCAGGGGUCACCGAUGUUGGUCUGGGACACCUGGUCAGGGGGUGCUUACAGCUGCAGUCAUGCCAGCUGGUGUACUGCAAGCGAGUGACCAGCACCGGAGUGGCGAUCGUCGUCUCGAGCUGCUCUAGGUUGAAGAAGCUCCUCGUUGAGGAGGCAAAGGUCAGUGAGAGGACACGUCGGAGGGCAGGACCCAUCUUAUCAUUCCUCUGCUCUGGGCUUUAG